rnacentral:lncRNA from 1 species
UGCGGGAACAGGGCUUCCGCGCGUGGGCAACCCGGAGCAGAGCCCCCUGGCAGCAUCCACCUGAGACCUUUACUGUAGGGUCAGGGCUCCAGAGAGCUAAGGACCAAAAGUCCUGGCCUGUACCAAAGAGACUGCGAAGUGCCAGUUAAGGUGUGACAUGGUCGCUCUUGUGCCUACUGAAUACCCAUAAUACAGAGGACCACCGACUGCGUCCCAGGGGUCGCACCUGAAGGGGACGCCACCACACCCACUAUGUCUGUCCAGNUCUCCCAUGGGACAGAGGCACACUGGCAAACAUGGACAUCGGAUCUCCCAUGGGACAGAGGCACACUGGCAAACAUGGACAUCGGAUCUCCCAUGGGACAGAGGCACACUGGCAAACAUGGACAUCGGAGCAGGCGUGUAGGGGUCCUGGCCAGUUGCAUCAGCUUACUGGACUGCUGUAACUACUAAAUUAAUGUGUUUGAGAUCAGAGUUUGGAAAAUAUAAACAAACAUAAGCAACUCUUGGGCAGCAGAGCCAGACACGGCUGGCUACAGCUCUGAAGCCUCGUGGUUUUAGAACACAAGAUUAAUUUAAUUUGUACAACUGCAGCUCCUCAUCUCUCUGCCUU